CGUGUAGGCGGGAUGUUAAGUCGAGUGUGAAAGCUAUGGGCUCAACCCAUGAAUUGCGCUUGAUACUGGUGUCCUAGAGUAAGGGAGAGGAGAGUGGAAUUCUCGGUGUAGCGGUGAAAUGCCUAGAUAUCGGGAAGAACACCGGUGGCGAAGGCGACUCUCUGGCCCAUUACUGACGCUAAUGCGCGAAAGCUAGGGGAGCGAACGGGAUUAGAUACCCCGGUAGUCCUAGCCGUAAACGUUGUAUACUAGGUGUUGGUGGUAUCAACCCCACCAGUGCCGUCGCAAACGCAUUAAGUAUACCGCCUGAGGAGUAUGCCCGCAAGGGUGAA
rnacentral:rRNA from 1 species